UGCUUUUUGAAUAUUUAAAAAGUAUUUCCUGCCCAAUGAAUAUUUUAAUGGCCGCAGUAUAUUGACUGUGCAAAGGUAGCAUAAUCAUUUGCUUUAUAAAUUAAAGCUUGUAUGAAUGGAAAAAUGUAAAUAUAACUGUCUUUUAUUUAUAAAUAAAAUUUGCUUUUUCAGUGAAGAAGCUGAAUUUUAUUAAAAAGACGAGAAGACCCUAAUGAGUUUUAAAUAUAAUAUAUAGAUUUUAUAUAAUAUAUUUUUUAUUGGGGUAAUAAAAGAAUAUAUCUUCUUUUAAAAUGAAUUAAUAAUAAUUAAUGAACCAUUAAUAAUGAGUAAGAGUUUAAAUUACCAUAGGGAUAACAGCAUAAUUUUUUUUAAGAGUACAUAUUGACAAAAAAGAUUGUGACCUCGAUGUUGGUUUAAGAGAAUUUUAUAAUGAAGAAGUUAUAAAAAUAAGUCUGUUCGACUUUUAAAAUCUUACA
rnacentral:rRNA from 2 species